AGCGCCCGCGGCGGGCAAGGCACGGACCUGCAAACAGGCUUUGCGGGCAGCCGGUCCGUGUACGGUCCUGUCUAUUCCGGAACUUCCGGAAUUUAAAGAUUUC
rnacentral:sRNA from 1 species